UCUUUCUUGGACACCAGUGACUGUGCAGGACACAUAGGUAGACUUUCAUUUACAGCCUGCACACACACAGUGAAACUGUAGACAUCCCCCUUAUGCAUUUUUAACAGCUCAGCAGGUGAUGGGAACAGUUAGGUCAGGACUCUUUGUUCACAGAUAAGAUUGGCAAGUGAUCAGAACACAUUUGAUUGUCGUCAGCUUGUGAUGCUUUACAAGAAACCAUUCAUUAAAAAGGGGAGCUUAUGAUCCACGACCACGCUCCCAUCACCUUUACCCAGAAUGUGACAGAAGGAGCCUGAUAGCUUCAUUGGUGGACACGCCAGGAUGCCUGGAGCUGACGGGGUCAACGAGGAGGGUUCCUGCAAGGCCUUGUGUCGAAACCUGGUGUCCCAGAAGGAUCUGCAGAGAGAGGCAGCGGACAUUUCACAGUCUGUUCUCUACACCUCCCUGAUGGGACUGCUGCUGGUGGCUGACAAUGAGAAAGAGCAGCUGCCUUUAGGGAGUGGAAGGUGUGGUCUUAGGAAUAUUGGUAACACAUGUUUCCUGAAUGCAAUAGUCCAGUGUCUGUCCCAUACUGGCAAGCUGCGGGACUACUGUCUCCUUAAGUCCUUCAGACAUGAAAAGUUUUCCAAAGAGGAGGCAAGGCUUACAGAAGCCUUCUCUCAGGUAUUGUCUGGCCUUUGGGAUGCAAAAGAAGCGGACAUGGUUGUAAAUCCAAGACAGUUUUACAACAUGUUCAAAGAUGCCGUGCCUUGCUUCAGUGGCUAUAGUCAACAGGAUGCUCAGGAGUUUCUCAGGUUCCUUUUGGACAAGCUGCAUACUGAAAUCAACCGCAAGCCCAACAUUAGACGGACCCUAAAGGACCCCGAUCAAAAAUAUGUCAGAUUUAGGAUUUCUGAAGAAGCGGCUGCUACGUGGAAGAAACACUUAGACAGAGAAGACAGCAGGAUAGUCGAUCUGUUCUCGGGUCAGUUGCGGAGCUCUCUGCACUGCUCCGUUUGCUCCCACUACUCCAACACGUUUGAUGUCUUCUGCGACCUGUCUCUGCCCAUCCCCAAGCCGUGCUUUGCUGGUGAGGUGACACUGAAGGAGUGUCUGGACCUCUUUUCUCAAGAGGAGCGGCUGGACAAGGAGAAUUCACCUAUGUGCGAGAGGUGUAACAGGCACACCGAGAGCACUAAGCGUCUGUCCAUCCAGAGGUUUCCCCAUGUCAUUGUGAUCCAUCUGAAUCGUUUCGCUACAUCACGUUGGUCCAUCAGUAAAAGCACCGUCUGCGUGUCCUUCCCUCUCACCCACCUAGAUCUUGGGCCUUACGGACCUGUGGAUUGCGAAAGUUGUAAUGGGAGGACUGCUUUCUGAGCUGCCACCUUAUCAUCGUAGAGGAGUUUGCCUGUGCCAAUGAUCCUAAGAGCUAUAUGGUCCAGGCGUUUUUAUACCCCCCGGUAGGGUCUCCCAACACAAACAAAUCCUAGGUGAGGGAUCAGACAAAAAGCAGCUGGAGGACCUUUAUGAAGAAAAAAAAAAACAAGGUUUCAGAUUUUCCUGGCCCACACACAGGUCACUGGGGCUCCCUUCUGGAGCCAGGCCCAGAGGUGGGGCUCGAUGGCGAGCACCUGGUCUCCGGGCCUAUACCAAUGGGACACAGCCCGAAGAGGCAGCGUGGGUCUCCCCUCCAACGGACUAACCACUUAUGAGCAGCAGCCGAAGGCAGGGUACUUAGCAGUCCGGUCCUCGGUUACAUAAGCUAGCUCUGAGGGGAAAGGAGCCUGAGCUGCUGCGCGAGAAGUUUGACGCACAAGCAAGGGCUCUCGAACAAGUUGUCUUAAGAGGGGCUGGUCUCUCUUCGCGGCGGGCUGGGGUGGCAAUUUUUCUUGCCUCCCCUGCUGAAAGCCUGCACGUUGGAGUUCAACCCAGUAGACGAAAGGGUAGCGUCCCUCAGCUUUUGGGUUUGGGGACGGGUUCUGAAUGCUGUUUGUGUUUAUGCACCAAACAGCAACUCAGAGUACCCGCCCUUUUUGGAUUCCCUCAAAGAAAUGCUGGAGACUCAGUGCUCCCUAAAUUGAUUCCCUUGUUCUGCUGGCGGACUUCAAUGCUCAUAUUGGCAAUGACAUUGAAACCUGGAGAGGUAUGAAUAGGAAGAACAGCCGCCCGGAUCUGAACCUGAGUCGUGUUUUGUUGUUGGACUUUUGUGCUUGUCACAGAUUGUCCAUAACAAACACAAUAUUCAAACAUAAGGCUGUCCAUAUGUGUACUUGGCACCAGGACACCCUAGGCCGCAGUUCCAUGAUCGUACUUGUGUCAUCAGAUCUGCGAUCUCAUGUUUUGGACACUCGGGCGAAGAGAGGGCAGCGCUUUCUACCGAUCAACACCCGGUGGUGAUUUAUGGUGGUCGGGGAGGAUGCCAGACAGACUUGGCAGGCCUAAACGCCUUGUGAAGGUCUGCUGGGAACGUCUAACAAAGUCUCCUGUCAGAGAAAUUUUAAAUUCUCACCUCCGGAAGAACUUUAAACAUGACACGACGAGGUAGGAGUUGGACAUUGAGUCCGAGUGGACCAUGUUCUGUACCUCUAUUGUUGAGGCAGCCGAUCGGAGCUGUAGCCACAAGGUAGUUGGUGCCUGUCGUGGCGGUAAUCCCAGAACCGAUGCCGUCAAGCUGAAGAAAGAGUCCUGUCGGGUCCUUUUGGCUCCUUGGACUCCCGAGGCAGCGGACAGGUACGACAGUCCAAGCGGUGUGUGUCUUCGGCGGUUGCGGAGGCAAAAACUCGGACAUGGGAGGACUUCGGGGAAGCCGUGGAAAACCAUUUCCGGACGGCCUCGAAGGGAAUCUGGACCACCAUCCACCGCCUCAGGAGGGGAAAGCAGUGCACUGUCAACACUGUGAGGAUGGUGUGCUGUUGAACUUGACUGCGGAUGUUGUGGAUCGGUGGAGGGAAUACUUUGAAGACCUCCUCAAUCCCACCUACACAUCCUUCAAUGAGGAAGCAGUUCCUGGGGAAUCUGUGGUGGGUGCUCCUAUUGCUGGGGCUGAAGCGGUCUGGUCUCUGGAUGAUAGUUGUCAGUGCUUGGUCCGCAUUGCCGGCAGUAGGUCGGACCCGUUUUCAGUGAGGGUUGGACUCAGCCAGGGCUGCCCUUUGUCACUGAUUCUGUUCAUAACUCUCUCACUAUCUCUAAGGGGCUCUACCUUAGACAUAGGAUGAGAAGCUAUGUGAUCCGGGAGGCGCUCAAAGUAAAGCUGCUGCUCCUCCACAUCCGCAGGAGCCAAAUGAGGUGGUUCAGGCAUCUGGUCAGGAUGCCACCCGGACGCCUCCUUGGAGAUUGUGUUUAAGGCACCUCCGACCGGUAGAAAAUCACGGCAAAGACCCAGGACACGUUGGGAAGUCUAUUUCUCCCGGCUGGCCUGGGAACGCCUCAGCAUCCCUCGGGAGGAGCUGGACGAAGUGGUUGCUGAGAGGGAAGUCGGGGCUUCUCGACUUAGGCUGCUGCCCCCACGACCCGACCUCGGAUAAGCUAAAGAAGAUGGAUGGAUGGAUGGAUGGACAGAUUGUAAUGGGAGAAUUUUUCCAAUAUAGUAUUUAACUUUCAAUCAGUUCCACUGUAUUUUGUCUACUUAGCUUUUACAUUUCUGACUGAACUGAACUGGAAAUAAAUGUGUGUGUGUGUCUCUAUAUGUCCCCAAAGGUCCAGUUCUCUAUGAUUUAUAUGCAAUAUGUAACCAUGUGGGGACUGUAAACAUUGGUCACUACACAGCCUGCUGUUCAGAUGAGAAUGGAUGGUGUUACUAUAAUGACUCUAGUGUGACACCAGUUUCUGAGAACCAGCUUCAGACCAAUCAAGC